rnacentral:rRNA from 1 species
GUCAAAUAACCCGACAUUUGAAAACAACAACAUAUUCAGUUCCCGAUGGAUCACUGAAGAUAAUCAACGUUGCGCGUGGUUGGUAUCAGGCUGGGUGACCGUCAGGGAAAUCGCGUGCUUUUGGCU